rnacentral:rRNA from 1 species
AUUGAACGCUGGCGGCAUGCCUUACACAUGCAAGUCGAACGGCAGCACGGGUGCUUGCACCUGGUGGCGAGUGGCGAACGGGUGAGUAAUACAUCGGAACAUGUCCUGUAGUGGGGGAUAGCCCGGCGAAAGCCGGAUUAAUACCGCAUACGAUCUACGGAUGAAAGCGGGGGACCUUCGGGCCUCGCGCUAUAGGGUUGGCCGAUGGCUGAUUAGCUAGUUGGUGGGGUAAAGGCCUACCAAGGCGACGAUCAGUAGCUGGUCUGAGAGGACGACCAGCCAGACUGGGACUGAGACACGGCCCAGACUCCGACGGGAGGCAGCAGUGGGGAAUUUUGGACAAUGGGCGAAAGCCUGAUCCAGCAAUGCCGCGUGUGUGAAGAAGGCCUUCGGGUUGUAAAGCACUUUUGUCCGGAAAGAAAUCCUUGGCCCUAAUACGGUCGGGGGAUGACGGUACCGGAAGAAUAAGCACCGGCUAACUACGUG